CGGAGACUGCGGGUGGCGGCCCCUGGCGACCGGAGGUGGCGCUGCAGCCCAAGGGCCGGGGGCGGAGUCGGGGCUGGGGGCGGAGCCCGGGCGGGGCCGGCGCUCAGUAUCUUGGGUUUCUUCCUCCCACUCGCCUCAGUCUGUCUAGUCUCUGUGUCUCUUCCUCCCUUCCCUUUCCCUCCCUUCCUUCUUUCUCCUCCCUCCCUCUCUUUCUUUCCCUUUCCCUUCCUUCCUCCCUCCUUCCUUCCCUCCUUACUACCUUCAAGCCUUCCUUCUCUUUUCUUCCUCCCUCGUCUCCCUUCCUUCUCCUCUCCCUAUCUCCUUCCCUCUUUUUUCUCUUCUUUUUUUAAUCUUCCUCCUUCUCCUACUCUUCCUUUCUUUCCACUUUCCCUUGCUUCUGUUUCUUCUCUUUUACAAUACUGACCGAACCCCAUACUGGGUGCCAAACCCAGCACACUGGUGACUGCAGAUUCUAAUCUUAAAAAAAUCUUAUGAGAUGAUAGGUGAAGGUUUCCAGAUGUCUUCACUCUCCUUACUUCUAGCUGUAUGGUGCUUUGUCUGUUUUCAGAUAAGCUCAUAAUUACAGCCUCCUCUCAAGAAAGAGUCUAUCUCAGUCAUUUAUACUUUAAUAAGAAUUUGGACCCAUGAAUCACCUCUCCCAGGAGGAUUUGUAGCUUUAUCUUGAACUUCAAUGGUGAAAUGAUAGGCUUAUAGUUUAGGACCCUAUUGUUGGCAGGUGAUAGAAACCCAAUUUGAAUUAUUUAAAGCAUGUAAAAAGGAAUUUGUUGGUUCACAUGUCUAGAAAGGGCAAGAAUAAAGCUUUCCUGAAGGAAGACAGGACUCAAGGAUGUAAUGCUGUUGGCUGGCAUGCUGCUGGCUCUCUCUCGCUUCUCUGUAUAUUGGUCUCCAUCUUCCCCCUUCUUUCCUAUAUGGCUAUAAAUGUGACCACCAUCUGCUUCCAAGGCCUCUGCUGUAUAGUGUCCUGACCAACUGGGAGAAAGAUCUCUUCCUGUGACCUUCACCUGGAAAACAAUCCCAGGGAAUGACUCUGAUUGGAUUGGCUUGUGUUACAUGUUUUAUGGGACAGGGGAUGGGAGAUUGAUUGAGCCUGGAUACCAAAUCUACCCUCCGACCCCUGUGGCCAAGAGAAGUGGAACCUGUGAUUGGCAGCCCCUGCCAGACUUCUAUGGUUAGCGAGGGAAGAUGAGGUUCUUCUAAUGAAGAGAGUUGCUUUUUCAUGAAAGCUAAAAGUGUGUGUCUAUUAUUUCCCUGUAGCAAGCCUCUCUGGUGUCCAUGAGGUAGACAUCAGGGUGUGGGAAGAAGGGUUGUGUUGGGGAAGAGACCCUCUGCUGCUCUGAAAUCAAGCCACCAAGGCCCCCUAAGCAUAGGGCAAAGCUUGCUUUCAGCUUUUUGGCCAUUGUCUAUAACUUAUUUUGCUUUGAGAAGAACCACUAUGCCAACUCCCACUGUGGGUCUGGCCUCUGUUGUGGUAUUGCCUUGCUCCAGGCUCAACCUGUGGGUUGAGCUCAUCACCCUGGGGACCUCCUUGGUACUUACAGCAGCUGGCACAAUGACUGCUACUCUCCAAGUGCCCUUCAGAGGAAAAAAAGGUCUGGCGAACUCUUUCACACUAUCAAGUUAUUAAUUUCCUUUUUCUUUCAAGAGUGAUUCUACAUAGGUCACAAAGUGGUCACAGCAAUGCAAAGUGAGUAAGAGUACAAAGCAGAAAACACCUCCCAGAAAAAGUUCCUGGAAGGUGGAAGCCCAAACUCAUCUACUUUAAAAUUCCCAGCACUAAUGCCAUGCUUGGCACCUUGAAGGCACCAGAAAAUGCUAAUUGAGCUGCACAGUCCUGGGUCGGGCAGGCUCCCCCAGAGAUUUCUGCCUGCUGGCAUUCACAUCCUCCCAGUGAGUGUGAAGUGGCCUGGAGACUGGCUUCAGAGGAAUAGAAUAUGGCAAAGAUGAUGGACAUCACUCGUGUGAUGAGGAUACGUAAGACUUCGGUCUUGCUUGCUGACUGUCUUUGUUGCCUUCUUGGCUUGUAUGUUUUGAUGAAGCAAACUCUCAUGCUGGAGAAGCCCAUGUGGCAAAGAGCUAAGGCUGGCCCCUAGUCAACAUCUGGCUAUAACUGAGGCUUUCAGUCCAACAGGCCUUGAAGGAUUGAAUCCUGCCAGCAACCCUCUGAGCUUCCAAGUGGAUCCUUCCUCAGUGGAGCAUUCAGAUGAGACCUCAGCCCUAGCUGACAUCCUGAUCACAGCCCUAUGAGGGACCCAGAAGCAGAGGACCUAGUUAAGCUGUGCCUGGACUUCUCCACCACAGAAACUGGGAGCGCCCUCCCGGGGUCUCCAUUGCCAGCGUGUCAAGAUCAGAUAGCAAUUGGGAAGCCCAACAGCUCUGGAGUGAGUGAGACAGAGCUGACUUGAGUCCUGAGGUCAUGCUUACCAGCUCUGCGACCUUGGCAUGUCCUUAAGGGCUGUCCCCUCUGAACCAUGGAACCAGAGUGAGGUCAUUGGGUGUGCUGCUGAAACAGGGUGGUUAUAAGGAUGAAAGAAGAUAAUGCAGUCAGAGCACCGAGAGUAAUGCCCUGGUAGAUGACACAAGGUGACUGGAGGCCUCCGGGAGAGUCUGUGGAGAAGGCACCGAGAAAGGCCGGCCACUGGGGGGUGUGGCGUGCCCAGGAAAUCUCUGCCCAGCUCAGCUUGGAGGUGGACCCUCUACAGCCCCGCGUCUCUGCCGAGGAGUUGUUGCCCAUGGUGCCUGCAGGCUUUGGUGCUCCAGUGGAGAGGGCACGCUGGGACACAGCCAAUGUCCUGGCCACCAGACCCUGAGGUAGGCUGUGACCUCUGUUGGUCAGGUGGAAUGAGGGCUGGGUGAAACAGUGGCCUUGGUUUUGGGACACCCUCUAGGGACCCUUUACAGUGAUCCCCUAGAGCCAACAAAUGAAAAAGCGCUGCUGGAUGCUGACCUAUGAUCUGGACAGACUCAAAGCUUUGAACAUCAGGGCUUCUGAGCCCCUUGCCUCUGCUUGGCCAUGCUCCUCAAAGCCCCCUUAUGCUGCGCUGAGGCAGGAUGGGGAACUCCCAAGACAGAGAGUCCUUGGGCUACUCACUUCUUCUCCUGCCUUCCUUUGUCUGAACCUCAGUUUUCUCCUCUGAGGAAUGGGCAGAACCAGCUCUGGGCAGCCUGUGUGGUUGGCAUGAGGGUUAGCAAAAGCAGGGAGUGAGACACUCCUGGCACAGCGCAGGCCUUCUCAAGUGUAAAGGGGCAGAUGGCGGGAGGGAAAGAGUUGGUUCUACUGGUUACUCCACGGGGAUUCCUGCCCUCUGUCCCGGUGGCGGGGGAGGUGGCAUUCACUGAGCGCAGGCCCCCAGCAGCUGCAACAGGUGCCCCUUUUGGCAGUAAAAGCAGGCCUGGGCCUUCCUGAUGCCAGCCUGUGAGCGCUGCUGGGAGAGGCCCCGAGAGGCUGAGGCUGGUUCAGCAGGCAGCUCUGCGGGGAGGCAGUGGCCUGGGUGGAUUCACUGUGACAGGCUGUUGACAGUGCAGCUUCCAGGGUUGCUCACGGUCACUGGUGGAGCAGCUCCAGCUGCUGCCUCUGAGUGAGGAGAAGAGGUGGUGGACGGCCGCCAUCCAGGCGGGCAUGCCACACAGCCUCUGCCCACACGGUCUCAGAGCUGCUUGCUGGAGGGCAGAGAGCCCAAGCCAUGGCACUCAUGGCUGCCAACCUCCAAAGCCAUUUAGACUCAGAGCCCUCCAUCAAAUAAGAAAGAGGCCACACCGGGACCUUCCUUCCUUCCUUCUUUCAGUUUGUAGUUUUGUGUACCUACUACGUGCUAGGGGGUGCUAGGAACACGGUGGGAGUGAAAUAGACAUGGCCCUGCCCUUAUGGAGUGUACAGUGAAAUGCAUGUUAGACAGAUAACACAGACAAGUAUUAAGCACGCCCAUGCCAACUGUUAGGAAGGAAAAUGGCAGAGUGCUGACUGGAUAGUGCUCUGGGGGCUCAGCCAGGCAUGACCUGGAGGAUACAUCUUGGUUGGGUGCCCUGCAAGUGGAACCUGAGGUGGGGAUCUCUUGGGGUGGCAAUUGGAAAGGACCUGCAAGGCAGGGAGAGAAGCAGGAUGGGGCGGCAGGGAGAAGCAGAGAAGGAGGUGGUCUCGGCUUGCGCCCCAUCCCACAGUGGUGGCAGGGCAAGGGGGGAUGGGGAAUUUCAACUGUCCGAGGAACAGUUCCACCUCUCGGGGAGGUGACCGGCCUUUUGUCACCCAUCUUGGGCAGUGAGAUCUGCCUGACUGUCACCUGUUGCAGAGGUGACUCUAGUUUGUCCCAAGGCAAUUCUCUGAGGGGGUGUGUGGCUGCCUUCCCUGAAUGGACAACACUCCCAGCUGCUGGUGUUGCCCCUCCAGUGGGAUACCCCUUCAGGAGAGGUGAGCCAAGGGGCAUCAGCUGCACCCACUAAACUGCCAGACAGGUCAGAAUGCACAAGGGCAAGGGAAAGUUGGCUGCAGAGAGGGAGAAGACCAGGUUUGGAGCAAGAGAGAUAGUGGGGACUGUGUCUGGAAGAAAGGCUGGGCUUGGCAGAGCCUUUCAAGGCAUGGCAGAGAUGCUUGAUUUUAUUUGGGAUGCCCGUGAAGGCAGUGGAAGUGCCUUCCACUUCCAAGUGCCUUCCUGGCACAUGGCCAGAUUGGCAAUUUAAGAAGAGCACUUUGGCUUCUGAAUGGAGGAAGAAUUGGAGUGGGUUUGGGAGACCAGGCAGAGAGACCAGCUUAGAAGCAAUGUGGUCUUCAAAGGGGAGAUGGGGGUGGCUUGGCCUAGCAUGGGGGAUGUGGGGGUGGUGAAUGGGAUAAUUUGAGUUAUUUAGGAGGAAGAACUUAGUAGGAGUUAGGGAUGCCCAUGAAAAACCCAAGAGGAGAAGCCAAGUAGGAAGGUGAAUGCAUAUGUCUGGAGCUUGGCAUGGAGGUAAGAUCUGAAAAUAGAUUUUGGGCAUAGAGAUGUCUUUGGAAACUUAGGAGUGAAUGAAAGCACCCAGGAGGAGAUAGUAGAGUGAUCAGAGAAGCGGAGCCUUGAAGAUCUUCAGUAAAUAUCUAACAGAUGAAUAAAGGAUGAGGAAGCAGCAGAGGUGUCUGAGGAGUGGAGGGAGGCAGGAGGAGGAGCAGGAUCGCCCCUGCAAAUAGCCACUGUACUCCAGCCUAGGUAACAUAGCAAGACCCCAUCUCUAAAAUAAAUGAAUAAAUAAAGUAAACAAAAAAGUCCCUCAGAUCUUUUUCAUCUUUCUGUGUGAUUGUGAGUUAAAAAAAGAAAGAAAGAAAGAAAAAGGACUUAUUAGCUUGUCUGGCUUUGUCAAAGGUCUUCUUUUGAUGUCUAGUUGUUCUAACUUCAGAAAUGUUCCCUUUCUCUUGUUCAAGAAAAUUAAGUCGAAGUAUAAGCUAAUGUUCCAGAAUAGUACUUCUCAAAUUUUAAUACACAUAUAUGAAUCACCCAGGGAUCUUGCUUAAAAUGUGAAUUCCAAUUUUACAAUCCUGAGGUGGUACCCGAGACUCUGCAUCCCUACCAAGCUCCCAGGCCCUGCCAAUGCAGCCGUCCCCAGGCCACACUUUGAGUAGCCAGGCUCAAUAAAGGGGUAUCAUGAAUACAUCCCCUGAAGCAGGGAGAAGAGAAUCACCACCAAACUCUAAUUAAAAAAAAAAACACUGGAAAAUAUCUGGAAUGACAUAAGUGCUGAGAUGAUGAACAUUUGAAAUAUCUUCCUCACACCUAUCUGUAGUUUCAAAUUUGUCUAUAAUGAACAUGAAUUACUUAGGCAAUAAAUAGGUUUAAAAUUAAAUAACCGAAUUUAAAAAACCUAAAGUAUACACAUAUUUUUAAAACAAAGUCUUUAUCAGAUGCUGAAAGAGAAUCAGAAGCACUUCCCUAGAACCAACAGCUUGAAAGGAGCCAGUUGAGUCCUCUUUCUCUGUCUUUUUAUCUUUUCGUUUGUUUUUGAAGCAGGAUCUCACUGUGUUGCCCAGGCUGGAGUGCGAUGGUACGAUCAUAGCUCACUGCAGCCUUGACCUCUUGGGCUCAAGUGAUCCUCUUGCGUCAGCUUCCUGAGUAGCUGGGACCACAGGCAUGCGCCACUACACCAGGCUAAUUUUUAAUUUUUUGUAGAAAUGAGGUCCUGCUAUGUUGUGCAGGCCGGUCUCCAGCAAUCCUCCCACCUUAGCCUCCCAAAGUGCUGGGAUCACAGGCAUGAGUCAGUGCAUCUGACUGAGUCCUCUUUCUGCAGCCCAGUUUAGAUGGAGAUAUGGGAGAGACACGUCCAGGCUUCACAGCCAGUUUUUGGCAGAGCCGGGACUAUGAAAUUAGAGAUCUGGGUGACACAGCACAAGCCAACAGCCACAGUCUGAUAAGAGUUUAUCAAACACACAGUGACUUUCUAUGACGGGAAUUUGAUACUGGGCCCUGCUGGCAGGGCAGUGCUCCAAGGAAUCGCAAUGGACAGGGAGCCUGGGCCUGCAGGAUCAUUUUUGAGCUGCUGAUGGCCUGUCCCCAGCCUGGGGCUCCUGGAAAAUCCCCAGCUUUCUCCAAGGAGACCAUUUCAUCUGGUUUAUCCCAUUUUACAGGGGGAAGUACACACCCCACAGCCUGGCAUUCAAGGCCUCAGUGUUCCCCUCUGAACCUCUGUCUCAUCGCACCUCCCACUCUCCAGCAUCACCUUGGUAGUCUUGCAUGCACAAGUCUAUUUGUCUGAUCUGCCCUUCCCUGGCCCUUCCAGGGCUUAGAGUUCCCCUGCAGCCUGGCCCAGCUCUCCAGUGCAGAGGCACACCCUCAGCCUGCUGCCGCCCUCACCUGGCUCUGCUGGGUAUCCCGCACAUUUUAGUGUUCUUUAGCACUGUAGGGUGACUAUACAAUAAUAAUUUAUUAUAUAUUUCAAAUAGCUAGAAAAGAGGAUUUUGAAUGUUUCCAACACAAAGAAAUAAUGUGUGAGGUGAUGGAUACAGUAAUUACUCUGAUAAGAUCAUUUACAUUGUAUAUAUGUAUCAAUGUCACUCUAUACCUCAUAAAUAUGUAUAAUUAUGUAUCAAUUAUGAAUAAUUUUUUAAAAGUUAUUAAAA